GACGAACGCUGGCGGCGUGCCUAAUACAUGCAAGUUGAGCGAUGAAGAUUGGUGCUUGCACCAAUUUGAAGAGCAGCGAACGGGUGAGUAACGCGUGGGGAAUCUGCCUUUGAGCGGGGGUCAACAUUUGGAAACGAAUGCUAAUACCGCAUAACAACUUUAAACAUAAGUUUUAAGUUUGAAAGAUGCAAUUGCAUCACUCAAAGAUGAUCCCGCGUUGUAUUAGCUAGUUGGUGAGGUAAAGGCUCACCAAGGCGAUGAUACAUAGCCGACCUGAGAGGGUGAUCGGCCACAUUGGGACUGAGACACGGCCCAAACUCCUACGGGAGGCGGCAGUAGGGAAUCUUCGGCAAUGGACGAAAGUCUGACCGAGCAACGCCGCGUGAGUGAAGAAGGUUGUCGGAUCGUAAAACUCUGUUGGUAGAGAAGAACGUUGGUGAGAGUGGAAAGCUCAUCAAGUGACGGUAACUACCCAGAAAGGGACGGCUAACUACGUG
rnacentral:rRNA from 1 species